rnacentral:rRNA from 1 species
AUUGAACGCUGGCGGCAGGCCUAGCACAUGCAAGUCGAGCGGAUGAGGAAAGCUUGCUUUUCGAUUCAGCGGCGGACGGGUGAGUAAUGCCUAGGAAUCUGCCUGUUAGUGGGGGAUAACUCGGGGAAACUCGGGCUAAUACCGCAUACGUCCUACGGGAGAAAGUGGGGGAUCUUCGGACCUCACGCUAACAGAUGAGCCUAGGUCGGAUUAGCUAGUAGGUGAGGUAAUGGCUCACCUAUGCGACGAUUCGUCACUGGUCUGAGAGGAUGAUCAGUCACACUGGAACUGAGACACGGUCCAGACUCGUACGGGAGGCAGCAGUGGGGAAUAUUGGACAAUGGGCGAAAGCCUGAUCCAGCCAUGCCGCGUGUGUGAAGAAGGUCUUCGGAUUGUAAAGCACUUUAAGUUGGGAGGAAGGGUAUUCACCUAAUACGUGGGUACUUUGACGUUACCAACAGAAUAAGCACCGGCUAACUCUGUGCCAGCCGCCGCGGUAAAAC